rnacentral:rRNA from 1 species
GAUGAACGCUGGCGGCGUGCCUAAUACAUGCAAGUCGAGCGAACAGACGAGGAGCUUGCUCCUCUGACGUUAGCGGCGGACGGGUGAGUAACACGUGGAUAACCUACCUAUAAGACUGGGAUAACUUCGGGAAACCGGAGCUAAUACCGGAUAAUAUAUUGAACCGCAUGGUUCAAUAGUGAAAGACGGCUUUGCUGUCACUUAUAGAUGGAUCUGCGCCGCAUUAGCUAGUUGGUAGGGUAACGGCUUAUCAAGGCAACGAUGCGUAGCCGACCUGAGAGGGUGAUCGGCCACACGGGAACUGGAACACGGUCCAGACUCCUGCGGGAGGCAGCAGUAGGGAAUCUUCCGCAAUGGGCGAGAGCCUGGCGGAGCAGGGCCGCGUGAGUGAUGAAGGUCUUCGGAUCGUAAAGCUCUGUUAUUAGGGAAGAACAAAUGUGUAAGUAACUAUGCACGUCUUGACGGUACCUAGUCAGAAAGCCACGGCUAACUACGUG